GUGAGGAAUAUUGGUCAAUGGACGAGAGUCUGAACCAGCCAAGUCGCGUGAAGGAAGACGGUUCUAUGAAUUGUAAACUUCUUUUGUGCAGGAAUAAAGUGGGUUACGUGUAACCUUUUGUAUGUACUGUACGAAUAAGGAUCGGCUAACUCCGUGCCAGCAGCCGCGGUAAUACGGAGGAUCCGAGCGUUAUUCGGAUUUAUUGGGUUUAAAGGGUGCGUAGGAGGAUUGAUAAGUCAGCGGUGAAAGUUUGCAGCUUAACUGUAAAAUUGCCGUUGAAACUGUCGGGCUUGAGUGCAAAUGAGGUAGGCGGAAUGUGUUGUGUAGCGGUGAAAUGCUUAGAUAUAACACAGAACUCCGAUUGCGAAGGCAGCUUACUGGGAUGCAACUGACACUGAUGCACGAAAGCGUGGGUAUCAAACAGGAUUAGAAACCCUAGUAGUCC
rnacentral:rRNA from 1 species